rnacentral:rRNA from 1 species
CAACGUAAGGCUAGCUCUCUGCAACUCUCACAUGGUCACCCACUGAAGCUAAACAGGGCUGCGCCUGGUCAGUACCUGGAUGGGAGACCACAUGGGAAAGCUAGGUUGCUGC